AAACGGGCAUCGUAAGUCCUGGGAUCGUUGGGCCUCCGUAGGAGGCGCCCACUCCGGUUACGGACCGGUGGUUAUCGGCACCCAGGGAGGGCCCGUUU
rnacentral:sRNA from 12 species